UACAGAGGGUGCAAGCGUUGUUCGGAAUUACUGGGCGUAAAGCGCACGUAGGCGGAUAUUUAAGUCAGGGGUGAAAUCCCGGGGCUCAACCCCGGAACUGCCUUUGAUACUGGGUAUCUGGAGGUCGAGAGAGGCGAGUGGAAUUCCGAGUGUAGAGGUGAAAUUCGUAGAUAUUCGGAGGAACACCAGUGGCGAAGGCGGCUCGCUGGCUCGAUACUGACGCUGAGGUGCGAAAGCGUGGGGAGCAAACAGG
rnacentral:rRNA from 1 species